rnacentral:rRNA from 1 species
ACGGGUGAGUAAUGUCUGGGAAACUGCCUGAUGGAGGGGGAUAACUACUGGAAACGGUAGCUAAUACCGCAUAACGUCGCAAGACCAAAGAGGGGGACCUUCGGGCCUCUUGCCAUCAGAUGUGCCCAGAUGGGAUUAGCUAGUAGGUGGGGUAACGGCUCACCUAGGCGCGAUCCCUAGCUGGUCUGAGAGGAUGACCAGCCACACUGGAACUGAGACACGGUCCAGACUCCUACGGGAGGCAGCAUG